AUAGAAUUGCAGGAUUAAGGUGCUAAUGAAUUAGCUUAAAAGGGAAUUCGGUGAAAAACCGAAGCUGUUUCCGCAACUGUAAGUGCUGAUGAAAUAAGAAUUUGCCACUGUCAAAUGAAGCGAAGGCUUUUAGUAGAUGGGAAGGCUCUUAGAGUAAACUGAUGCACAAGCCAGGAGACCUACCUUUCUCUGAUCGUACGA
rnacentral:ncRNA from 2 species